rnacentral:ncRNA from 1 species
CAAAGGCUUGGUCCUGACUUUACUAUCGGCUUUAGCUGAACUUACACAUGCAAGUAUCCGCACCCCCGUGAGAAUGCCCUACGGUUCCCCUACCGGGAACAGGGAGCUGGUAUCAGGCACAGACCCACUGGCCCACGACACCUUGCUUAGCCACACCCCCAAGGGUACUCAGCAGUGAUAGACAUUAAGCCAUGAGUGAAAACUUGACUCAGUUAAGGCUAAGAGGGCCGGUAAAACUCGUGCCAGCCACCGCGGUUAUACGAGAGGCCCAAGUUGAUAGACAUCGGCGUAAAGCGUGGUUAAGAGUACACUUACUAAAGCCGAAUACCCCCCCCAGCUGUUAUACGCCAGCGGGGUCUUAGAAGCACAAUAACGAAAGUAGCUUUAUGAUACCUGAACCCACGAAAGCUAAGGCACAAACUGGGAUUAGAUACCCCACUAUGCUUAGCCCUAAACAUUGACAACUAGAUACACCAGUUGUCCGCCCGGGAACUACGAGCGCUAGCUUAAAACCCAAAGGACUUGGCGGUGCUUUAGAUCCACCUAGAGGAGCCUGUUCUAGAACCGAUAAUCCCCGUUCAACCUCACCCCCUCUUGCUCUAUCCGCCUAUAUACCGCCGUCGCAAGCUUACCCUUUGAAGGAAUAAUAGUAAGCAAAAUUGGCAAUGCCCAGAACGUCAGGUCGAGGUGUAGCGAAUGAGGGGGGAAGAAAUGGGCUACAUUCCCUAAUCUUAAGGAAUCACGGAUAAUAACGCUGAAACGCGUAUUUGAAGGAGGAUUUAGUAGUAAGCAUGAAAAUAGAGUGUUCCGCUGAAAUCGGCCCUGAAGCGCGCACACACCGCCCGUCACUCUCCCCGAAAAUUGGAAAUUGCCCUAAUUAAAAAGAGACAACUAUAGAGGGGAGGCAAGUCGUAACAUGGUAAGUGCACCGGAAGGUGUACUUGGACAAACCAGA